UAGAGGAAGUAAAAGUCGUAACAAGGUUUCCGUAGGUGAACCUGCGGAAGGAUCAUUAAUGAAUAUAACACCGGAGGGAGGAAUGCGGGGGUUAAGCUGUCGCUGGCCUUUAAUCGGGCAUGUGCACGCUCCCUUGAGGACCUCUCGACGUCUUUCAUCUUCUCACCUGUGCACCUAACCUAGGUCAGGCAUGGUUUUGGUAAACAGAACCAUGCAAGCGCCUCUCCCUCGGGGGAGGCCAUGAACCUAUUUCAUAUACAUCUUUGUGUAGAAAGUCUCAGAAUGUUUACUAUCAGAGAGUCGCGACUUCUAGGAGACGCGAAUCUUUGAGUUAAAAAGUUAUUACAACUUUCAGCAAUGGAUCUCUUGGCUCUCGCAUCGAUGAAGAACGCAGCGAAAAGCGAUAUGUAAUGUGAAUUGCAGAUCUACAGUGAAUCAUCGAAUCUUUGAACGCACCUUGCGCUCCUUGGUAUUCCGAGGAGCAUGCCUGUUUGAGUGUCAGUAAUUUCUCAACCCCUCUCAAUUUGCUUUGAGGGGGAGCUUGGAUAGUGGGGGUUGCCGGAGACUUGGGCUAGUCCCAGGACUCGGGCUCUCCUUAAAUGCAUUGGCUUGCGGUCGACUUUCGACUUUGCACGAAAAGGCUUUCGGCGUGAUAAUGAUCGCCGUGUGCUGAAGUGCAUGAAUGAAUGGUCCCGCGCCUCUAAUACGUCGACCUAGUAACUCUCUUUUUUCCGAAGAGAGAGAAAAAAAGUCUUCCUUUGACAUUUUGACCUCAAAUCAGGUAGGACUACCCGCUGAACUUAAGCAUAUCAAUAAGGC
rnacentral:rRNA from 1 species